UUAAUUCGAUGCAACGCGAAGAACCUUACCAGGGUUUGACAUCCCCCGAAUCUCUUGCAAACGAGAGAGUGCUUCGGGAGCGGGGAGACAGGUGGUGCAUGGCUGUCGUCAGCUCGUGUCGUGAGAUGUUGGGUUAAGUCCCGCAACGAGCGCAACCCACGUUUUUAGUUGCCAUCAUUCAGUUGGGCACUCUAGAGAAACUGCCGGUGACAAACCGGAGGAAGGUGUGGACGACGUCAAGUCAUCAUGCCCCUUACAUCCUGGGCUACACACGUACUACAAUGCUCCGGACAGCGAGACGCGAAGCCGCGAGGUGAAGCAAAUCUCCCAAACCGGGGCUCAGUUCAGAUUGCAGGCUGCAACUCGCCUGCAUGAAGGCGGAAUCGCUAGUAAUCGCAGGUCAGCAUACUGCGGUGAAUACGUUCCCGGGCCUU
rnacentral:rRNA from 1 species